UGAUAAAUUACUAACUAUAUGGAUAAAAUUAAAAUUAUUACCACAGCUGAAUGGCUUCAAUUUCCUUCACACAUCUCACUGGGAGCUUUACUAGAAAAAUGAACUUGAUAUGUUUGUUCUUGAUCCAUACAAGAUUAAGUUUAACAAGAUAUCAAGUUAUAAAGUUUGAUGAGCAUGAAAUAGAGUUAGUGAAGUUUUAUCUGAGGAAAACAAUCAACUUCAAAUUUUGGUUCUUAUCUAAGAA
rnacentral:lncRNA from 1 species